rnacentral:rRNA from 1 species
CGGACGGGUGAGUAAUGUAUGGGGAUCUGCCUGAUGGAGGGGGAUAACUACUGGAAACGGUAGCUAAUACCGCAUAACGUCGCAAGACCAAAGAGGGGGACCUUCGGGCCUCUUGCCAUCGGAUGUGCCCAGAUGGGAUUAGCUAGUAGGUGGGGUAACGGCUCACCUAGGCGACGAUCCCUAGCUGGUCUGAGAGGAUGACCAGCCACACUGGAACUGAGACACGGUCCAG